CACUUUAUAAAUUUCAGUUGUAAUGUCACUAUCCAAUGUAAUGCAUGCUUUAAUAAACUUCACCUGCUUUGACAUUUGGUCGAAUUGCAAAAGUUGAGAUUCGAAUCUCAGUUACGACGAUUGGAAUUGCAAAAGGCGAGAUUCAAAUAAAAUCAAUUGAAUUAAGUUGAGUUCAACCCCACAUUUCUUGUGAAUGAAGAUUUUAUGGUUACAAGUUUCAAGGGAAUGACCUGACCCUUGAGUCAUUAUUGUUGUAGAAGUGGACUUCUUUCCCAGGCAUUUGGACUGAGUUCGAAUCUUGUUGUCAUAGAGGGCUUUACUUGAAUACCACCUCUGGCCCGAACAGGAUUAGACUUAGAUCGUAAAACGGAUGAGAACACCUGUGGUUAUAAAAAAAUGAUAUGUUGCUGGUAAUCCUUAUUGUUCAUUGUGGUUCUAAUUAAGCUAGUCUGCCAUUGGUUUUGAUACUAUCUUCUUAGUCUAUGUUUAAAUGAAUUUCAAAGGCUUUGACAUAUGGCCAAUAAUGAGAAGUUGUUACAUGGGGUAGUUCUUUUGUUUCCUAUCAUCUCUGAAGAUACAUAUUUCUUUUUUUUUAAUGGAAGUCAUGAGCGUCACUCUCGUUGAAUUGGAAUAUUGAUGAAAUCUGAGGGUUUUUUUUUUUUUUUGAAUUGCUGAUUUUUAGUUGUUGUAACUUAAGUGUUGAUUUUUGUAGCUUGGUUAGAUCCUUUGUAGCCAAUGUGCUUAAGGUUUUACAUAAUUUCCUCGGUUUUCUUUGAGCUCCAGUUGUAUUUUGCCCAAUGAUGGAAAACUGAUUGGGCAAUUCUGGGUUUCAAUUUAUCUCUAGCUUUACACACUGCCUGUUUCAUUCUCUGUCAAUAUACACAUACGUAUUAUAUAUGUUUGUAUGUAUGCGUGUAUAUUUAUUUAUUUUAUUUAUUAUUGCUGGUGGUGUGUUAAGAGCUAUUGGUGAAUGCCUUUACAGUGAACUGUCCAUGAUUUUGGCAUAGCUAUGUGAUGUGGUUUUGGGGAGAAAAUAGCAACAAUAGAAAGAAUUAGGGCUAAACAAACGAUUAGUAAAGAAGAUGCAAGUCUAGAAAACUUAGGGUUAUAGAAAACCUCUAGUUUUUCUAUUGAUUCAAGAAAAAUAAUAAGAACAAUAAUUAUGGCUAUAAAGCCUACAACUUAUUUAUAUUACUAGGCUUUCUUGCAAAUAAAUUUUAUUCUAGUCCUGGAUUUAAACCCUAAAAUACUUAAUAACCCUAGCCGUCUGUAAUAUAUCUAAUAUUUAAAAUAGAUAUUAUAAGAUAAAACUGACAUGAUAAAAUAUUAUAAUAAAAAUAAAAUAUCCUACAUCACUAUGAGAUCUGAAGGCUCUUUUUAAUUUCGCUUUUAGGUUUAUUGAAGUCAGAUAUUGUCUUCAGGCUUAGUCAAAAGUGCAGAGCAGAUAGUGUUUAUUUCUGGGACUUAUACGAGACUACUAUUUAAGGCAAUUUUGAAGAUAUCUUUUACCACACAAUCUUUGGUAUUAUUUUGCUCAUAGCCCUCGGAUACUUUGUGUGGAGAGGUUGCUAUGGCAUCAAUGUCAGCCUCCAUCCUUCCAACUACUUGUCAUUAUUGGUUUUGGUGAUUCUUGUUCUCCUUCCCUCUUCUUUGUUGUUAUUGUUAUUAUUGUUGAUAUAAUUCAUGGUCUUAUGAUUAAUGAUGGCACUGGUAUACCGGUAGUAGUAGAUGUGGAGAAGUCUUCAAUGCAAUAGUGUCACAAUUGACGAAACUAUUCUGAGGUCUGGCCUUCGAGGGCAUUUGCAGGUUCUUUCUAUUAAGCAUGUGUUUGAACUUUCUGGUGUUAGCCUUUAUUUGAAAUUUUCUGUUAUCAUUUAUUUUGAAUUUGCUGCUGUUUUCCUUUGUUUUGAAUUUUGUUGUUUGUUAGUAUCAUCUGCAAAUAAGUCUCCUAUAGAAGAGGAGCAUCUCUAGGCUUCUUUGACGUAUUAAUAUGCUUGCUGCCAUUGAAUAAAAUCAAUAUCUUUUUUUUUUCACUGUCACUUGCAUUUAUAUGGUGUCAGAGCCUUCCUAAGCCCCAACAAGUUUUAUCCAUCGCAAGUGACAUUUUUUUCAUUCUGCCAUAUGUUUUAUUUUAUUUGAAGAUCUUUGAUGUUCCUUAGUUGAUGACUUUGCUGGUUGUAUGCGUUCAAGUAUGCUGCUUUAAUCUUAGUUCUAUUAUUUUAGAUAUUACAAUCACUAAGUUACAGAAAUUCCAUCUAGAUUCAUCAGCCUAAUUGAGGGUUUCACUGUUCCUAUUUCUCUGACCUCCAUUCCUUUAUUGAUAAUGCAUGUAUGUCAAGGUCCAUGCCUUGUUUUAAUAUAACUUCUGAAGCAAGCAGUUCUUUGGAAUAUUGGUAACUGGAAUGGUGUCUAAUCCCUAGUAAUAAUUCUUGCAGAUGGUAAUGACUGUUUGGAAAACUAAUUUUAUUGAAUUGAGUCAUUUUUUACUAUAAACCUUGCUAGAAUAUUUAUUUAAUGCUUAGAUUUUUCUCUGCUUGUUGAUUAAUGUGUAGAAGAUCUGGGUAUCUUAUAUUUCAAAUUUUCAACAUUUUAUGUUUAAACACUACAGUAUUUAUUUUAUUUUUUUUCUUUUGCAAUUUCAUUUUGCUGCAUUAGUUUUUUUGGCCCAAUGAUAGAAAACUCAUUGAAAUGGAGCAGUUAUUUCUGAUUUUUGUUUCGGACCUUUGCUAUCAGCAAUGGCAUCAACAAUUCAACAUUUAAUAUGAUCCCUUUUCCUUCCUUUUCUUUUCCUCUACAAUAUUUGUUUCAUAUGAUGAAAAGCUUUUUCUCUUUCUUUCUCUCUUUCUUCAUAUCAACAUGCCUGCUGAUAUGAUGGAGGCUCGUAACUUAAAUCAGAGAGUUUAAAAACUGCAAAUGACCCAUCAUAGCUAUGAGAUCUGAGGGCUUUUAUGAUUCUUAAUAUCUGCCUUUAUCAUGCCGUGUUGUUGCAGACUUUGUUUCUCUGGUGUAUGAGAUUUUCAUUACUCUAAUUCAUGCGUGAGUGUUGGACACAGGUAUGCCCAAUUUUUUCUAAAGGUUUUCAUGUAUUUGGGGGACCCUAAAGGAUCAUAUAUCAUGGAAUUGUAAGUUGUUUGCAAGCAAGGGUUGUUGAUGUUCAAUCCCAGCUCGCGCUUUAUGGUAAUGACUAAGGAAAAACUAAGUUUAUUGAAUUGAGAGGUUUGUUAAGUUUAUUGAAUUGAGAGGUUUGUUUUUGCUAUAUUGCUAUUAUCAUAUUUAGAAUGAAGCAUUCAAUGCUUGAAUGCUUAGAUUUUCUCACUGUUGAUUGAUUAAUGUGUAAACUACAAUUGUGCUUUUACAAA